GCAAAGGAUGCUGAUAGUUUAGUUGAGAGGCAUCAUGUCGUUCGUAUAUCACAAGACUUCAACAUAUCGUUAAGUGAAGCCCAUGCACAAUGAAGGCUACUGUGGUGGUUCGACGUCGUCAGUCCGUAACAGAUUUUUAUUGUGCUCCAAUUUAUUGCUUGAAAUGAUUCUACUGAUGGCAAAACAUCGACACAUAUAGCACCACAGACUAUUCUGAACUGACCUAUAAGGGCUUCGAUGACGACUUCGCGGCGCGCCGUUCCACAACGCUAUCGCGCGGGACGCAUAGAUUUUUCGUCACAUGCUCGAUCCUCUAGAGCUGGUCCCUACGGCUAACGAUAGACGUUCACCGACAGAUCACAAAACAGGAGCCGUAAACGGCACGAAUCGUACGAGUCGUCACGAACGGCAUGGACUUCUUUAAAGAAAUUAUACGCAUUGUGCUACGACAAUUAAUGUUCCUCGCGAGGCGUAAAUAUCCAAUAAUAUAUUGUAAAAAAUCGGAUGUCUGUGCUAAAACAAUUCGCCCAUAGAGUCUUCAGAA
rnacentral:lncRNA from 1 species